AAUUAGUAUUGCAACUGUUCGUUCGCCGUUGGCAGACGUCAUUAAAAAAUCGCGCCGUGUCAGCUCAUUGCGACCAGACGAAGAAUAGAUACGUAACGAGAUUUAACUUCUGUGUUUAGACGUUUUUAACGUGAUUCUUCUGUUCUUCGCCAAAUCGAGUGGCUCGUUACAUGGAUAUUCUCUUAAGAAGAAAGAAGAAGCCUUUUUUUCUAUGUAUAAUGGGUAUUAAUUAUAUAUGGUGAGAGGAAGGAGAGGGAUAAUUCCUGUGCCAUGGAAACUGCGUAUAGAUGCUUGUUACGUUAUCCGAACAGUUCGAUUCUCCGAACCACCUCGAUUGCUUCCAAUUGCUUCGGAUAAUUAACGCUUUGUCGUACAGAAUUUAAAAACUCAAAAUACCUCGAUUGUCUACAUCUGCAUGUUUCACUCGCAGAAUAACUUUACAUAACGUUUACGUAACGAUUUUAAUAUUUCAUUAUCAAAUUUUGUAG
rnacentral:misc_RNA from 1 species